rnacentral:tmRNA from 1 species
GGGGCUGACCGGAAUUGACGGGUAGAGCGGCUGAGGUGUAAGCAUGUAGAGCUUUGUUUGCUGGCUCUUUAAUCCUAACACUCAAAUUUUAAGAGGCGAAAAUAACUUCGCAAUGGCUGCCUAAUCAAGGAUUAGACAAAUUCCAUACGUUUACGGUACCCCUGUCUGAGCCGGUGCCGGUUCGAACGUUCGACAAGCUCAGAUAUGCAUGAGGGGUGGUCGCGACCGAUUGCAUUACCAAGCGGCAUAAGGAUAAGAUUUGGGCUUCGAUGAUCCAAUUUUAUCCCGACAAUAAUCAUCGAUAAACAUGUAGAAAGCGCCAUCAUCUCCUACUCCGGACCAGGGUUCGAAUCCCUGCAGCUCCACGA